rnacentral:rRNA from 1 species
GACGAACGCUGGCGGCGUGCUUAACACAUGCAAGUCGAACGGAAAGGCCUUUUCGGAGGUACUCGAGUGGCGAACGGGUGAGUAACACGUGGGUGAUCUGCCCUGCACUCUGGGAUAAGCCUGGGAAACUGGGUCUAAUACCGGAUAGGACCGCACUUUAGUGUGUGUGGUGGAAAGUUUUUUCGGUGUAGGAUGAGCCCGCGGCCUAUCAGCUUGUUGGUGGGGUAAUGGCCUACCAAGGCGGCGACGGGUAGCCGGACUGAGAGGUUGGUCGGCCACAUUGGGACUGAGGUACGGCCCAGACUCCUACGGGAAGCAGCAGUGGGGAAAAUUGCACAAUGGGCGCAAGCCUGAUGCAGCGACGCCGCGUGGGGGAUGACGGCCUUCGGGUUGUAAACUCCUUUCGCCAGGGACGAAGCGUUUUGUGACGGUACCUGGAGAAGAAGCACCGGCUAACUACGUG